rnacentral:rRNA from 1 species
GACGAACGCUGGCGGCGUGCUUAACACAUGCAAGUCGAACGGAAAGGCCCUGCUUUUGUGGGGUGCUCGAGUGGCGAACGGGUGAGUAACACGUGAGUAACCUGCCCUUGACUUUGGGAUAACUUCAGGAAACUGGGGCUAAUACCGGAUAGGAGCUCCUGCUGCAGGGUGGGGGUUGGAAAGUUUCGGCGGUUGGGGAUGGAUUCGCGGCUUAUGAGCUUGUUGGUGGGGUAGUGGCUUACCAAGGCUUGGACGGGUAGCCGGCCUGGGAGGGUGACCGGCGACCAGAGGACUACGGGAGGGCGCAGACGCCAACGGGAGGCAGCGGUCGCAAGUAUUACACAGUGAGCGCACGCCUGAGGCGACGGCGCCCCGUUCGUAAUGACGGCCUUCUGGUUAAGAACCGCUUUCGCCUGAGACGAAGCGUGAGUGACGGUAAUGGAUAAAGAAGCACCGGCUAACUACGUG